rnacentral:rRNA from 1 species
CAGCGGAGGGAUCAUUACCGAGUUUACAACUCCCAAACCCAUGUGAACAUACCUACUGUUGCUUCGGCGGGAUUGCCCCGGGCGCCUCGUGUGCCCCGGAUCAGGCGCCCGCCUAGGAAACUUAAUUCUUGUUUUAUUUUGGAAUCUUCUGAGUAGUUUUUACAAAUAAAUAAAAACUUUCAACAACGGAUCUCUUGGUUCUGGCAUCGAUGAAGAACGCAGCGAAAUGCGAUAAGUAAUGUGAAUUGCAGAAUUCAGUGAAUCAUCGAAUCUUUGAACGCACAUUGCGCCCGCCAGUAUUCUGGCGGGCAUGCCUGUCUGAGCGUCAUUUCAACCCUCAUGCCCCUAGGGCGUGGUGUUGGGGAUCGGCCAAAGCCCGCGAGGGACGGCCGGCCCCUAAAUCUAGUGGCGGACCCGUCGUGGCCUCCUCUGCGAAGUAGUGAUAUUCCGCAUCGGAGAGCGACGAGCCCCUGCCGUUAAACCCCCAACUUUCCAAGGUUGACCUCAGAUCAGGUAGGAAUACCCGCUGAACUUAAG